rnacentral:rRNA from 1 species
UAAAGUUGUUGCGGUUAAAAAGCUCGUAGUUGAAAUUGUGUCCUGCGGUGUCGGUCUACCGAUUGCGGUACGACAGGCACGUCUGCGGGGCUUCUCGCCGGUGCGUCCACCGCCGGCGUGCGUCGGUCGUCCUCACGGUCGGCCGCGCACCGAGGCGGGCCGUCGCGGCUGUUUACUUUGAACAAAUUAGAGUGCUCAAAGCGGGCUAACACUUGCCUGAAUAUUGUACGCAUGGAAUAAUAGAAUAGGACCUCGGUUCUGUUUUGUUGGCUUUCUGAUACCAGAGGUAAUGAUUAAUAGGGACAACUGGGGGCAUUCGUAUUGCGACGUUAGAGGUGAAAUUCUUGGAUCGUCGCAAGACGGACUAAAGCGAAAGCAUUUGCCAAAGGUGUUUUCAUUAAUCAAGAACGAAAGUUAGAGGUUCGAAGGCGAUUAGAUACCGCUGUAGUUCUAACCAUAAAUGAUGCCAGCCAGCGAUCCGCCGAAGUUUCAUAAUUUUAACCCGGUGGGCAGCUCCCGGGAAACCAAAGCUUUC